AACAAAAUCUAUCUCAUAUCAUUUGGACUUUUCCUCUCCCUACCGCCGACUCUCUCUCUCUCUCUCUGCGCCUCUCUCCCCUCUUUCUCUCUCAUGGCUGCUUUGGGAUCUCUCUAUCUGCAACAACCUGUUAACCCAUUAGGUUUGUUAAUUUGCUGCAUUGGGGAUUGUGGCUCAUCGGAUACAGUGCGACAAUUGACAGUAAUGGAAACACUUGAUGUGAAAUUUUUUACUUAAUGCGGAAUCCGGAAAGCGUUCAACGUUAAGUGUUGUUUGUUAAACAAUAAGAUUGGUGAGUUUGACAGAUUGAGAUGAUAAACAAUGAGAUUGUUUCAAGGAAGCGCUGAAAUCAGCCUCCUGUUGGAAGAAAGAUUCGGGGAAGUGGGUUUCCAUGUUUUUUUAUUUUGAAAGGAUUAUUUAAAUUUGACUUUUACCAGUCGGGCUGCUGCUGCUGCUGCUGCUCUCUCUCUCUCUCUCUCUCUCUCUCUCUCUCUUCUUGUCAAAGGGAAGGUUUAGUUGAAGAAGAGGACAGUGGAAAUUGCUGAAUUUUUUUAGGGAUGCCCCAUUUUUUGGCGUUUGUCUAACCACCACAAUAACUUUCACUGGUUGCACAGAACAAACAUCUGCAUCCGGCAUUGAUUUCUAUGAUGAAUUGGAAAUUUUGGGACCUUCAUCAUUGUACACCAGCUCCCAACAUCAAUGGGCAGUAAGCAACACAGGCUUUUACAUCUCCAACCCCAAUGGCCCUCAAUACAUAGCAAUGACAGAUUCUCAAAUCCUGGGGACUUUAGAGUUAGAACUAUAUAAAACAGCAAGGAUUUCACCAAACUCAUUAAGGUUCCAUGGCCUUGGUUUGAAGAAUGGGAAAUACAUCAUCGAACUCCACUUUGCAGAGAUAGUCAUGGAUGAUUCACAGUCUUGGAAAGUUCUUGGGAGGCGCAUAUUUGAUGUCUACAUCUAGGUAUCACUUUCCUUAUCAUUUAACAUAUGAAGGUGUGUUCUUUCAAACCAUAUUAUGUUCAAUAUCUUUGAAUUGUUUUGGAUGAUGGACAAAAAACAAAAUGUCAGGGGGAGAAAGUACCACAAGAUUUUAACAUCCAAAAUGAAGCCAAGGGCUCCAAAAGAUCUGUCAUAAAAAUGGGAAAAUGUGACAGACACAGCCACGGAGAUCCGCUUCCUUUGGGCUGGAAAAGGGACAUGCUGCAUUCCAUUUCAAGCAACUUUCGGGCCGCUGGUGUCAGCCAUACAUGUUUCUCUAGAGUCUUCUAGUGGUGGUUCACCCUUGAAUAAUUAUAGAAGAUGCAUAGGAGAAGUUAUCGGUAUAGCUGUCGGAUGUGUAGGUGGACUACUGAUACUCGCAUCCAUUUUCUAUCUAUGGUGGAUAAGGAUGCACCUGGCCAUAUGCGAGUGCGCACAGACUCACCAAGAAAAGGAUGAUGACCUUUUUUUUAA